rnacentral:ncRNA from 1 species
CUAAGCGCAAUGAAGAGGACGAGUACCUUGUAUGGGCUGCUUUAAGAGAGCCGGUGGUAGCUGCAAACCGGUGCAGUGCUCAAGGGAAUCCACCUCCGAGUGACUUGAUCCGGUCUUUCGCCGUUAUCGAGACGAGCGGGCAGAAAUGGAGUAAUUCUGUCAACAAGGGUGGCAACGCGGUCCUUCCGUCCCUUUG